rnacentral:rRNA from 1 species
GACGAAGGGGGCUAGCGUUGUUCGGAAUUACUGGGCGUAAAGCGCGUGUAGGCGGUUGUUCAAGUCAGGUGUGAAAGCCUUGAGCUCAACUCAAGAAAUGCACUUGAUACUGGAUGACUAGAGGACCGGAGAGGAUAGUGGAAUUCCCAGUGUAGUGGUGAAAUUCGUAGAUAUUCGGAAGAACACCAGUGGCGAAGGCGACUUACUGGACACAUACUGACGCUGAGGUGCGAAAGCGUGGGGAGCAAACAGG